rnacentral:lncRNA from 1 species
UAUGGUUUUCAAGGGGAUGGCGCAUGGCAUUCUUCAGAAUACUUUUUGUAAUUCCAUGUUCUGUUCCACUGAAUGCCUCUUGCACUUUUUCUGUUUUGAACUAGACCCAACCAUGAGUUCCACUGAUGGGCUUCAUCUCAGAGGAGCAGCACUUUACAAGCAGGAAAGUGAGAGUGACCCAUGCAGAGAAUCAUGGAGACAGAAGCUGUGACGCAGCCUGCUCUUCUGUGAGCUGAAGACAGAGUUUUCCCAGAGAAGGCAGGUUUACAGCAAUGUCUCAGGUACAGCUGUCAGCCUCUGGGCCACUGAGGGAUGAGUGUGUAAAGUGCUUUUAAGACAACUGUGACUUUCCACCCCAGUGAGCUAUUGCAGAUGCCUCAAGGGAAUAUCACAACAAUGCAGGUCCUUUUAGCCCUGCUGAAGUAGUCAAAAUUUAUGUCUAAAAGAUGAUCCUGACCUUGGUCUGAGAUUUACAGAACAGCAUCCAGUGAAAGAACAGGCUUAAUCUCUUGACAAACAGGAUUGUAUUUUCAAUGAGAGAGCUCAGCUCAAUUAGUCCAGCUACGUAACUCUAACUGUCUUGUCCUGGAAAACUUAAAGCACAUCUGAACAAAUUAUCUUUAAUUUAAGGUGAAUUACAGUACAAAGAGGUACAUAUCUCCAAAAAAUCAAUGUAUAAGAUUCACAAAGAUGUUUUCUCUCUUAUUCCUAAAAGAAAUUAAAAUAAGCAAUAGGUUAUUUUGCUCACAAAACCAUAGUGAGAGAUGGAUGCCAGGCACAGAGAAUGAUUUGUAUCACCAAGUAAAGACAGCCAGGUAUCUCCAAAACUAUCUUGAUUUGUAAAGCUCCUGUGCUAUCAAUUCCUAACAUUAACCCAGGAGAGUUUGUCAAGAAUGAACCUGGAUCUGCACAGGGCCAAAAAGCCUUCAAACUAUUAAUACCUAAUCCAAAAUAUAAAAAACCCCUGCAGGCACAAGCAGAGCCAGUAGGAUUCCACAGGGUUAAGGUACUCAAAUAUUUUUUUCACUGCUGAGUGAGUUCAGUUUGUCCAGCCUGGAGAAGAAAAGGCUUUCAGGGGACCUUAGAGCAGCUUCCAGUGCCUAGAGAGCCCCUGCAAGAGGGCUGGAGAGGGACUCUUAAUCAAGGAGCAUAGUGACAGAUAAAAUUGCUACUUUCUCCUUUGUUUUCCCCUUUUGCCAGUCUUGCCUUGA